UACGGGGGGGGCAAGCGUUGUUCGGAAUUACUGGGCGUAAAGGGCGCGUAGGCGGCCUGCUAAGUCGGAUGUGAAAUCCCUCGGCUCAACCGAGGAACUGCAUCCGAUACUGGCGGGCUUGAAUCCGGGAGAGGGAUGUGGAAUUCCAGGUGUAGCGGUGAAAUGCGCAGAUAUCUGGAGGAACACCGGUGGCGAAGGCGGCAUCCUGGACCGGUAUUGACGCUGAGGCGCGAAAGCUAGGGGAGCAAACGGG
rnacentral:rRNA from 1 species